AUAAAUAAUUCCAAUCCUACACACGACCGAUCUCGGAAGCUAAGCAGGGUCGAGCCUGGUUAGUACUUGGAUGGGAGACCACCUAGGAAGACCAGGUGCUGUAGGUG
rnacentral:rRNA from 1 species